rnacentral:rRNA from 1 species
CGAACGGAAACGCGAAGAGCUUGCUCUUUGGCGUCGAGUGGCGGACGGGUGAGUAACGCGUGGGAAUCUACCCAGUAGUGGAGGACAGCCAGGAGAAAUCCUGAUUAAUACUGCAUACGAUCUACGGAUGAAAGAUGGCCUCUAUUUAUAAGCUAUCGCUACUGGAUGAGCCCGCGUUAGAUUAGCUAGUUGGUGGGGUAAGAGCCUACCAAGGCGACGAUCUAUAGCUGGUCUGAGAGGACGACCAGCCACAUCGGGACUGAGACACGGCCCGGACUCCUACGGGAGGCAGCAGUGGGGAAUAUUGGACAAUGGGCGCAAGCCUGAUCCAGCAAUGCCGCGUGUGUGAAGAAGGCCUUAGGGUUGUAAAGCACUUUCAAUUGUGAAGAAGAGUAUAAGAAUAAUACUCUUGUACUUUGACGUUAACUUUAGAAGAAGCACCGGCUAACUCUGUGCCAGCAGCCGCGGUAAUACAGAGGGUGCAAGCGUUAAUCGGAAUUACUGGGCGUAAAGCGCGCGUAGGCGGUUAUUUAAGUCAGAUGUGAAAUCCCAGGGCUCAACCUUGGAACUGCAUCUGAUACUGGGUAACUAGAGUUUGGGAGAGGGAAGUAGAAUUUCAGGUGUAGCGGUGAAAUGCAUAGAGAUCUGAAGGAAUACCAGUGGCGAAGGCGACUUCCUGGCCUAAAACUGACGCUGAGGUGCGAAAGCGUGGGUAGCAAACGGGAUUAGAUACCCCGGUAGUCCACGCCGUAAACGAUGUCAACUAGUCGUUGGUUCCCUUGAGGGAUCAGUGACGCAGCUAACGCAUUAAGUUGACCGCCUGGGGAGUACGGUCGCAAGACUAAAACUCAAAGGAAUUGACGGGGGCCCGCACAAGCGGUGGAGCAUGUGGUUUAAUUCGAUGCAACGCGAAGAACCUUACCAUCCCUUGACAUCCCGGAGAAUUUGCAAGAGAUUGCUUAGUGCCUUCGGGAACUCCGUGACAGGUGCUGCACGGCUGUCGUCAGCUCGUGUCGUGAGAUGUUGGGUUAAGUCCCGCAACGAGCGCAACCCCUAUCCU